CGCUGUUGGAUUCAUGCUCCCGGC
rnacentral:miRNA from 1 species